GACGAACGCUGGCGGCGUGCCUAAUACAUGCAAGUCGAACGCAGUGGGGACGGGUGAGUAACACGUGGGUAACCUCCCAUCAGAGGGGAUAACACUUGGCAACAGGUGCUAACCCGCUACUGAUGGAUGGACCCGGGGUGCAUUAGCUAGUUGGUGAGGUAACGGCUCACCAAGGCCACGAUGCAUAGCUGACCUGAGAGGGUGAUCGGCCACACUGGGACUGAGACACGGUCAAGACUCCUACGGGAGGCAGCAGUGGGGAAUAUUCGACAAUGGACGAAAGUCUGACGGAGCAACGCCGCGUGAAUGAAGAAGGGUUUCGGAUCGUAAAGUACUGUAGUUAGAGAAGCGGUAUCUAAAAAGAAAGCAACGGCUAACUCCGUGCCAGCAGCCGCGGUAAUAC
rnacentral:rRNA from 1 species